rnacentral:rRNA from 1 species
GAUCGCGAUCAUACCAGCAAUAAUGCACAACAUCCUAUCAAAACUCCAAAGUUAAGCUUGUUUUAGCGAGAACAGUAUUAGGAUCGGUGACCUCCGGGAAAGUCAUCAUGUUGCAUCCU